GCACUUGGCUUAAGGGGCUGCGCGCUCCCUGCCUGCUGCUGGGCGGAGGGAAGGCGGCAAGAGCUGCGGCGCCCCUGGAAGAGCUUCCAGAAACCCUGCGCUGUGGGAUAGAGGAAUGAGGUUCAGAAAGGGGCAGGGAGUUGCCCGCAGCCUCACCGCACGUCUUCAGCCCGACCGUUGUCCUGACCUCUCUGUCCCGUCCCCUGCCCAGUCUCACCAUGGCCUUCUGGACACAGCUGAUGCUGCUGCUCUGGAAGAAUUUCAUGUAUCGCCGGAGACAGCCGGUAACGCCCCAGUGUGAGACCAGGGCCGGGUGGGCAGGCAGCCCCCACUGUCCCCCACCAUCUCCCACCUAUUCUCCCCCAGGUCCAGCUCCUGGUCGAAUUGCUGUGGCCUCUCUUCCUCUUCUUCAUCCUGGUGGCUGUUCGCCACUCCCACCCGCCCCUGGAGCACCAUGAAUGUGAGCCCCCCCAGGGACCAGGCACUUUGUGUGUGUAGGGGAAGGCAGAUGGCUCACCCGUGCACAGGAAUCCCCCGUG
rnacentral:sRNA from 1 species